UAUGAUCUUCGUUUUGAAAAUGCAUGAAAAGAGAAAAACUGGAAUGACAUAUAAAAUAUCUAAUAGGUUUAUAGCUAGUGGAGGAACUAGAGUGUUUUAUUAUCUUUUUAUCUUAUUUCUCUAAUUCUUCUUUGGUAAACAAAUACUACUUAUGUAAUAAAACAUACAACCUUAAGGAGAAGAUCUGAUGAGGAAGCAUUUGUUACACAAAAAGUUGAGCAUAUACCCAUAAAGGAAAUAUCAAUUAAAUGGAGCUUCUCGGGCCGGGUGUAGUGGCUCACGCCUGUAAUCCCAGCACUUUGGGGGGCUGAGGUGGAUCACUUGAGGCCAGGAGUUUGAGACCAGCUUGGCAACAUAGCAAAACCCCUUUCUACUACAAAUACAAAAAUUAGCCAGGUGUGGUAGCGCAUGACUGUAAUCUCAACCACUCAGGUGGCUGAGGCACGAGAAUCACUUGAACCCAGGAGGUGGAGGUUCCAGUGAGCCAAGAUCGUGCCACUGCACUCCAGCCUAGGCAACAGAGUGAGACUUUCAAAAUAAAAUGAGAUAAAUGGAACUUCUGUAGGGGUGAAUUAUUGGGGCAAGAUACAAAGUCGAAUUUCAUGAACGCAUAUUAGUCUAGGAAUUACAAAUUAUCGUAAAUGAGAAGAUGUAAAUAUGAGCUAAAAUUCACAGUAAUCGCCCAAGUAAAUGAGAUAUUUAAGCAAUCCAGAACCUUUUCUCAUCAAGUUGAUUAAGGGAAAUAAUCUCCCAAGGUGUUGGGAGGCUGAUAGGAAAGUGUGUGUUUCAUAAUCAGAACCUAAGAAAUCUGACACACAAACUUUGAAAGUGUAUAAGGGAAUGAUCAAAAAUUAGCUGAGUGUGGUGGUGGGUGCCUGUAAUCCCAGCUACUCAGGAGGCUGAGGCAGGAGAACGGCUUGAACCCAGGAGGUGGAGGUUGCAGUGAGACAAGAUGGUGCCACUGCACUCCAACCUGGGCAACUCCAUCUCGAAGAAGAAAAUGUAUAAGGGAAUGAGAAACGUUUUGUUUUCCGGAGGUCAAGGGAAGUCGCAGAUCUUGGAUGGCCGUUACAUAUAUUAUUGGCAAUGCAAAGAGUCGGUUUACAUCCAGACACCAUACUCUCUUUUAAAAAUGACUGCAUCAAAUAAGUCUUGUGAAAAGCAAAGAAAAUAAUAAAAUUGUGUUUUUAUCUUAAACUAGUAACAGAAGCAAUCAGUUGCUGAAUGGUCUGUCACUUUAUAUUCAGUAGGACCUCCCUAGACAGGAUUAUUCUGUGAAGUAGCAUGGUUGGAACAAAAAGUAGCUAAGGAAGACAUUUCUUCUUUUUUUCCUUUUAAUAGACAUUCUGUGCACCCUUUAACACAAUAUGGUUGCAGCAUCAAAGGACACAAUUGAUUAAUAGUCAUCAUAAAACUUCACAACCAUCCUACAAUGUGAAAAACUGAGCGCUUAGCCUCUACUAAAGGUUUGUUUAUUACAUGAAUGAAGGAAUGAACGAAUGAGCUAUGAGGCACUGGAUAUUGAUAAAAACAAUUCUCUAUCUUUAAAGUGGAAGUUGAGAAGAAAACAUUAGUUCCUUGAACAGCCAACUACCUUUGCCACCAGUAGGUUUAGUCAUACAAAAAUCUCUUGAAUGGAAUCUAUGGUCUUUGAGAUAUUUCAAACUGUGAUAGAAACAAUGCAAUUAAUUCAAGCAGGUCCUUUCUUUAGGACUGAUCUACAAAAUAUGAUAAUGUGAUAUGAGUUUAAUUGCACUCCUCUACACUAUAAAGGACAUCUACACUGAUCAGGCAAACCUCACAAUUCAAAUGAACCAAUUCAAACUGCACAUGUGAGCUUCUCAAAUGUUUUGUAGGUAUAGGCUCAAUAGAGGGUUGUUUGCUAUUAAAUAUUGGAAAGUUUACAAAUUUGUGUUGGGCAGCAUUCAAAGCCAUCCUGGGCCACAUGAGGCCUGCGGGUCACAGAUUGGACAAGCUUGCUUUAACUCAUAAUUUGAUUUUUUAAUGUUUCUCUGAUGCAUGUGAAAAUAUUAUGAGUAAAAAGACAAUGUUUGGGCUCUGCUUUAAAAUACUCUAGAAAACACACACACACACACACACACACAAACACACACACACAAAAGGGUUGGAGAGAGUUUUAAAAAUGGCAGAAUGUUACUAGAUGUUGCAACUUGCUGGUGGGCAUAUGGGUGUUCAUUAAGCUAUCUUUUCUACCUUUGUAUAUGCUAGAAAUUAAAAUUUUAAUCCAAAAAUAAAUAAAUAUUGGAAUCUUAAUAUACAAUUUUAAUACUUUUAUCAUUUGACAUGUCCUAUGUAAUAUGCUGUGAGGAUGAAAAUACAACUCCAUUUUCUUUUGAAUAUGUGUUAAAAAUAAUAAUAAAAAUUAUUUUUCUUUGCCCAGUGAUUUGAAAAUGCCACUUUUAUCAUCAUAAACAUUUAUAAAUGCUUUGGUCACUCUCUCAGUGGGCUU
rnacentral:lncRNA from 1 species